rnacentral:misc_RNA from 1 species
AACGCACAUUGCGCCCAUUAGUAUUCUAGUGGGCAUGCCUGUUCGAGCGUCAUUACAACCCUCAAGCGCUGUAGUGCUUGGUGUUGGGGCUUCUGCUGGUGACAGCAGGCCCUGAAAGCUAGUGGCGGGCUCGCCGUGACCCUGAGCGUAGUAGCUUACAUCGCUUCUGCGGCUCGCGGCGGGUUUCCAGCCGUUAAAAACCCUAAUUUUCACAAGGUUGACCUCGGAUCAGGUAGGAAUACCCGCUGAACUUAA